GAUGAACGCUGGCGGCGUGCCUAAUACAUGCAAGUCGAGCGAACGGACGAGAAGCUUGCUUCUCUGAUGUUAGCGGCGGACGGGUGAGUAACACUUGGAUAACCUACCUAUAAGACUGGGAUAACUUCGGGAAACCGGAGCUAAUACCGGAUAAUAUUUUGAACCGCAUGGUUCAAAAGUUAAAGACGGUCUUGCUGUCACUUAUAUAUGGAUCCGCGCUGCGUUAGCUAGUUGGUAAGGUAACGGCUUACCAAGGCAACGAUGCAUAGCCGACCUGAGAGGGUGAUCGGCAACACUGGAACUGAGAAACGGUCCAGACGACUACGGGAGGCAGCAGUAGGGAAUCGUCCGAAAUGGGCGAAAGAAUGACGGAGAAACGCAGCGUGAGUGAUGAAGGUAUUCGGAUCGUAAAACUCUGUUAAUAGGGAAGAACAUAUGUGGAAGUAACUGUGCACAGCUUGAAGGUACCUAAGCAGAAAGCCACGGCUAACUACGUG
rnacentral:rRNA from 1 species